UACGUAGGGGGCAAGCGUUGUCCGGAAUUACUGGGCGUAAAGCGCACGUAGGCGGCUUUUUAAGUCAGGGGUGAAAUCCUGGAGCUCAACUCCAGAACUGCCUUUGAUACUGAGAAGCUUGAGUCCGGGAGAGGUGAGUGGAACUGCGAGUGUAGAGGUGAAAUUCGUAGAUAUUCGCAAGAACACCAGUGGCGAAGGCGGCUCACUGGCCCGGUACUGACGCUGAGGUGCGAAAGCGUGGGAGCAACAGGG
rnacentral:rRNA from 1 species